rnacentral:rRNA from 1 species
UACGGGGGGGGCAAGCGUUGUUCGGAAUUACUGGGCGUAAAGGGCUCGUAGGCGGCCAACUAAGUCAGACGUGAAAUCCCUCGGCUUAACCGGGGAACUGCGUCUGAUACUGGAUGGCUUGAGUGUGGGAGAGGGGUGCGGAAUUCCAGGUGUAGCGGUGAAAUGCGUAGAUAUCUGGAGGAACACCGGUGGCGAAGGCGGCAUCCUGGACCAUUACUGACGCUGAGGAGCGAAAGCCAGGGGAGCAAACGGG